rnacentral:lncRNA from 1 species
GACUGGAACCUCCAGAAAAAGUACUUUAAGUUACCUACAGGUGAUCCUAGUCAGGCAAAUGAAAACAGUAGCCUAAAGUGUCAGUUUCAACCAGAAAAUAACAGCUCUGAUUUCUCAUGGCUCAUACUCGUCUGAAACGACUCAGGUAGAGGCUGAGGAAGGCCGUGUUGUUUGUCUACCUGGGACUACACCUACUGAAAGAAGUUCUCAAGUUCUGAUUGAGUUCUAAAAUUUUUUGAAGAUUGGAAUUCUUCAUAU